rnacentral:rRNA from 1 species
CCUACGGGUUGCAGCAGUGGGGAAUCUUGCGCAAUGGCCGAAAGGCUGACGCAACGACGCCGCGUGUGGGAUGAAGCUCUUCGGGGUGUAAACCACUGUUGCCCGGGACGAACGGGCGGAUUUAUCCGCCGUGACGGUACCGGGUGAGGAAGCACCGGCUAACUCCGUGCCAGCAGCCGCGGUAAUACGGAGGGUGCGAGCGUUGUCCGGAAUCACUGGGCGUAAAGGGCGCGUAGGCGGCUCGGUAAGCGUGUGGUGAAAGCUCGGGGCUCAACCCCGAGUCGGCCGUGCGAACUGUCGAGCUUGAGCACUGUAGAGGCAGGUGGAAUUCCGGGUAUAGCGGUGGAAUGCGUAGAGAUCCGGAAGAACACCGGUGGCGAAGGCGGCCUGCUGGGCAGUUGCUGACGCUGAGGCGCGACAGCGUGGGGAGCAAACAGGAUUAGAUACCCCAGUAGUC